rnacentral:rRNA from 1 species
UACGAGGGGGGCGAGCGUUGUUCGGAAUUACUGGGCGUAAAGCGCGCGCAGGCGGCUAUCCAAGUCAGUGGUGAAAGCCCGGAGCUCAACUCCGGAACUGCCAUUGAAACUGUUUAGCUUGAGUAUGAGAGAGGUGAGUGGAAUUCCCAGUGUAGAGGUGAAAUUCGUAGAUAUUGGGAAGAACACCGGUGGCGAAGGCGGCUCACUGGCUCAUUACUGACGCUCAGGCGCGACAGCGUGGGGAUCAAACAGG